rnacentral:rRNA from 1 species
AUGCUUUACACAUGCAAGUCGAACGGUAACAGGUUAAGCUGACGAGUGGCGAACGGGUGAGUAAUGCAUCGGAACGUGCCCGGUCUGGGGGAUAACGCAGCGAAAGCUGCGCUAAUACCGCAUACGAUCUGAGGAUGAAAGCGGGGGACCGUAAGGCCUCGCGCGAUCGGAGCGGCCGAUGUCAGAUUAGGUAGUUGGUGGGGUAAAGGCUCACCAAGCCGACGAUCUAUAGCUGGUCUGAGAGGACGAUCAGCCACACUGGGACUGAGACACGGCCCAGACUCCUACGGGAGGCAGCAGUGGGGAAUAUUGGACAAUGGGCGCAAGCCUGAUCCAGCAAUACCGCGUGUGUGAAGAAGGCCUUAGGGUUGUAAAGCACUUUCAAUUGGGAGGAAAACCUGCCGGUCAAUACCCGGCAGCUUGACAUUACCUUUAGAAGAAGCACCGGCUAACUCCGUG